rnacentral:rRNA from 1 species
UACGUAGGGUGCGAGCGUUUAAUCGGAAUUACUGGGCGUAAAGCGUGCGUAGGUGGUGAGUUAAGUCUGUCGUGAAAGCCCCGGGCUCAACCUGGGAAUGGCGAUGGAUACUGGCUCGCUAGAGUGCGGUAGAGGAGAGUGGAAUUCCUGGUGUAGCGGUGAAAUGCGCAGAUAUCAGGAAGAACACCCGUGGCGAAAGCGGCUCUCUGGAACGGUACUGGACGCUGAGACGCGAAAGCGUGGGGAGCAAACAGGG